UGCCAGCCGCCGCGGUAACACGUACCGGACAAACGUUAUUCGGAAUUACUGGGCUUAAAGAGUACGUAGGCGGCCUUGUAGGUGAGAUGUGAAAUCCCACGGCUCAACCGUGGAAUUGCGUUUCAAACCACAAGGCUUGAGGGAGACAGGGGUGAGCGGAACUGAUGGUGGAGCGGUGAAAUGCGUUGAUAUCAUCAGGAACACCGGUGGCGAAGGCGGCUCACUGGGUCUCUUCUGACGCUGAGGUACGAAAGCUAGGGUAGCGAACGGGAUUAGAUA
rnacentral:rRNA from 1 species